rnacentral:rRNA from 1 species
ACUCAAAGGAAUUGACGGGGGCCCGCACAAGCGGUGGAGCAUGUGGUUUAAUUCGACGCAACGCGAAGAACCUUACCAGCUCUUGACAUGUCCCGUACGGGCCGGGGAGACCCGGUUCAUCGGUUCGGCCGGCGGGAACACAGGUGCUGCAUGGCUGUCGUCAGCUCGUGUCGUGAGAUGUUGGGUUAAGUCCCGCAACGAGCGCAACCCCCAUCCGCAGUUGCCAGCGAGUUAAGUCGGGCACUCUGCGGAAACUGCCGGUGACAAGCCGGAGGAAGGCGGGGAUGACGUCAAGUCCUCAUGGCCCUUAUGGGCUGGGCUACACACGUGCUACAAUGGCGGUGACAGAGGGGAGCAAGGGUGCGAGCCCGAGCCAAUCUCAAAAAACCGUCUCAGUUCGGAUUGCUCUCUGCAACUCGAGAGCAUGAAGUCGGAAUCGCUAGUAAUCGCGGAUCAGCACGCCGCGGUGAAUACGUUCCCGGGCCUUGUACACACCGCCCGU